rnacentral:lncRNA from 1 species
GCCAAAAUGGACACAUUGUAACACAAGCAGACAACAGUUGCUGUGUGCCAGAAGUGCUUGAGUGUAGUGAUAAAUUGCUGUUGUGUAUUCUCUUUCUGUUACUUUUUCGUAUAGAAACAAGUUAACCAACAUGCAAACUAUGACAAACAAGAUUUGUUCACCAUAAA